rnacentral:rRNA from 1 species
UAAAAUUUAUAAAAUUAGGUAGUAAAGAAAUUUCUGAAACCUAAAGAAUUUGGCGGUAUUUUAAAUAAUUGGAGGAACCUAUUAUUUAAUUGACAAUCCACAACAUAUCUUACCUAAAUUUUAUUUGUAUAUCGUCGUUUUGAUAAUAUUUAAAAAUUAUGAUCAAUUUUAAUAAAUUUUUGAAAUUCAGGUCAAGGUGCAGUAUAUUUAGGUUAUAAUGGGUUACAAUAUAUUUAUAUAUAAUGGAUAUAAACUUGAAAAUUAUAUUGAAAGUGGAUUCAAAAGUAAAAUUAAAUUAAAAAGUUUAUUUGAUUAAUAAUUUAAAAUAUGC